rnacentral:lncRNA from 1 species
AUGGCAAAGCAGGAGCAAAGAAAAAUCCCUUUGGCUCCAGAAAAUCUCCUGAAAGCAGAAGGCUUAUCAAGGCCUCAAAGCCACCCAGUCAAAGUAGGCACUUUUGGCAAAGGAGGAGCAGAGGGAAGGAAAAGAGCUCAGGUUUAAACGACUGGAAUCAUUCCUACAUGAUUCCUGGCGGCAGAAACAUGACAAGGUGUGUCUCAGACGACUAGAAGUAAAACCUCACACCUUGGAAUCGCCAGAUAAACAUUCCUUGGCCUUUGUUGUACGCGUCGAAAGGAUUGAUGGUGUGAGUUUACUGGUGCGGAGAGCCAUUGCAAGACUUAAACCUAAAAAUGCAGCGUAUAGUAUGUAACCUUAUGUGACCUGGGGAUUUCCAAAUCUGAAGUCUGUCCAGAAACUCAUUUUGAAACGUAGACAAGCCAAGGUCAAGAAUAAGACCAUCCCUCUGACAACACAGUGAUUGAGGAGCACCUGGGAAAGCUUGGUGUCUUUUGCUUGGAAGACCUCAUUCAUGAAAUUGCCUUCCCAAGGAAGCAUUUCCAGGAGAUCUCAUGGUUCUUGUCCCCUUUCCACCUCUCAGUGGACUGUCAUGCUACCAAAAAUAGUGGACUUUCUGAAGGAGAUUGGCACACCUCCAUCUUCUUGGGGGUGUGUGCAUCAAUCAGCUCAUCCGCCAGCUGAAC